rnacentral:rRNA from 1 species
GUGCAGCAGUCGCGAAAACUCCGCAAUACGCGAAAGCGUGACGGGGCCAUCCCGAGUGCCGUCCGCUGAGGAUGGCUUUUCUCUGCUGUAAGAAGGCAGAGGAAUAAGGAGAGGGCAAGUCUGGUGUCAGCCGCCGCGGUAAUACCAGCUCUCCGAGUGGUAGGGAUGAUUAUUGGGCUUAAAGCGUCCGUAGCUGGCCUUUCAAGUCUCUUGUUAAAUCCAGCGAUUCAAUCGUUGGACUGCGGGAGAUACUGUUAGGCUAGGGGGCGGGAGAAGCCGACGGUAUUUCCGGGGUAGGGGUAAAAUCCUAUAAUCCCGGGAAGACCACCAGUGGCGUAGGCGGUCGGCUAGCACGCGCUCGACAGUGAGGGACGAAAGCUGGGGUAGCGAACCGGAUUAGAUACCCGGGUAGUCC